ACUCCUACGGGAGGCAGCAGUGGGGAAUCUUGGACAAUGGGGGCAACCCUGAUCCAGCCAUGCCGCGUGAGUGAUGAAGGCCUUAGGGUCGUAAAGCUCUUUCGCCUGUGAAGAUAAUGAAGCGGUAGCGGUAAAGAAAACCCCGGCUAACNCCGUGCCAGCAGCCGCGGUAAUACGAGGGGCGUUAAGCGUUGUUCGGAAGUUACUGGGCGUAAAGCGCACGUAGGCGGAUCGGAAAGUUGGGGUGAAAUCCCGGGGC
rnacentral:rRNA from 1 species